rnacentral:rRNA from 1 species
UACGGGGGGGGCAAGCGUUGUUCGGAAUUACUGGGCGUAGAGGGCUCGUAGGCGGCCAACUAAGUCAGACGUGAAAUCCCUCGGCUUAACCGGGGAACUGCAUCUGAUACUGGAUGGCUUGAGUUCGGGAGAGGGAUGCGGAAUUCCAGGUGUAGCGGUGAAAUGCGUAGAUAUCAGGAGGAACACCGAUUGCGAAGGCAGCUCGCUGGGACGUAACUGACGCUGAGGAGCGAAAGCGUGGGGAGCAAACAGG